rnacentral:lncRNA from 1 species
UUGGAUUUUUCCUGUUUCCAGCACUUAGACACAAUACAUUAGUCCAUAAAUCAAUGUACUAAGUCUGAGAAACAUACCUUUAUUCUUGAUUUGUACUUUGUCCACCUUUUAACACUUAGGCAUUUGUGUUGGACACUAAAUCACCAAAACACUUAGAAAUGGCCCAAGGGCACAUUUCCCUUUCAGGAGGACAGAUGCGAAUAGCAACCGACUCGUCCUCUUCUUCUCAAUUCUCUACGUCGUUGCUUCUCUGCCUUGUCGUCCCUUCGUCAUAUCAAAGGAGAGCGGUGUAUCUUAACCACCGUCGGCGUUUUGACGACCUGCACGGGUGCCGGCGAAUCAGGUUCCUGGAAAGUGCUUCGCGCACGUCCGCUCGAGUUCCUCUACAACACUCGUAGAAAUCACUGUAAAUAAAUCUGCAGUUUCAGUUUGCAGCAAUGACGAUUUUAUGGUUAGAACCGUUGUCGAUUCUUAUUUUAUACGUUAAUCUUGUUAAGUUAGUUCAGAUCUGUUCUGUUCUAAUGUCGUAAAUAUUAUCUGCCAGUAGAUCUAGGUUUUUUUGUUUUAUGCUGCAUUAUCAAAUUAAUUUUAGGCCCUGAUAAUUUUUCAACACCCUCCUCAUCAUGCCGGCAAACACCGAGCUUCUCCAACCAUGGGCGGGGUCACCGUUACUAGGGUUAAAACGGUCGGAAACGAUUGAAAAACACUAAAACCGUUACCGUUUUCAUAUUUUUUAUCGAAAACGAAAUCCGAAACGGUAAUUCCGGAAACGGAAACGACAUCGGUAUUUCGGAAUCAUCGGAAACGGAAGUUCGGUACAAAAAAUACAUCGGUAUUGGUCGGAAUCUAAAAUUCAAUCGGUAACCAUAUCAAUAUGAAAAUAUCACAAUACAACAAAGUUUACAAAUAUCACAAAAAGCACAAGUUCAUAAUUUUUAAUAUCACAUGUUCACAAUUCACAAUAUCACAAGUUCACAAUAUAAUAAUGGAUCACAUAGAUCACAAGUUCACAAUAUAAAAAAUUAAUCUCACAUAUCACAAGUUCACAAUAUAACAAGUUGAUCACAAGUUUACAAUAUAACAAGCGGAUAUUGAAAAUGAAAAACGAGUGCCAACUCCGAACAGCAAAACCCUGUAUAUACCACACAUAGAAGACAUCAAGGUCUUAUCGAGAUGUAAUCAGAUUCGCAUUAAUCAAUAUUAGGCUGAUAUGAAUUAGAAUAGAACUCCAAGUAAAUUUUAAUAUACCUAAUACAUGAUUUCAGCGAGGGAUUCGAACAAUAUCCAAACAAAACCCCAAGUGACAAGUGUGUGGCCGUGUGGGGGUGGGGGAGGGAGAGGCUAGUAGGCUACAGCCUACAACCACGGAGCUCUUUGCAGGCUUGCAGCAACCGAGGAGAAGCCGUGCAGGCUGUUCAGGAAGAGGAGCGGCGGCAAGCGGGGCAUGGGCGUGCGCGUGCGAGCCGACGGCAGCGGCAAGGGCAGGUCCUUCUCCGGGCGGUGCGUGCGUCCAUAUAUGGCCACAAAGCUAGGAUUAGGGAUUACAGAUUUACAGAUUAGUAGAUUACUUACAGUAGAUUGGGGGCAGUGCGUCCGUCCGUGGUAUGCACGCGCAGCCUGGCAAAGAGAAGGAAGAUGAGUCACGGAAUUUGGGGCACGACAUGGAGCGCUGAGCAGAGCAGUGAGCAAUGGCGACUGGCGGUGGCGGUUGUGUGCGGUGUGCCUGUGGGGCUGCGCUGUGCCUGGGGG